UACGGAGGAUGCAAGCGUUAUCCGGAAUGAUUGGGCGUAAAGCGUCCGCAGGUGGCACUACAAGUCUGCUGUCAAAGACUGGGGCUCAACCCUGGAAAGGCGGUGGAAACUGUAGAGCUAGAGUACGGUAGGGGCAGAGGGAAUUCCUGGUGUAGCGGUGAAAUGCGUAGAGUUCAGGAAGAACACCGGUGGCGAAAGCGCUCUGCUAGGCCUGUACUGACACUCAUGGACGAAAGCUAGGGGAGCGAAUGGG
rnacentral:rRNA from 1 species